ensembl:miRNA mir-74 ncRNA
UGGCAAGAAAUGGCAGUCUACA